rnacentral:misc_RNA from 1 species
GAUGAAGAACGUAGCGAAAUGCGAUAAGUAAUGUGAAUUGCAGAAUUCAGUGAAUCAUCGAAUCUUUGAACGCACAUUGCGCCCUCUGGUAUUCCGGGGGGCAUGCCUGUUCGAGCGUCAUUACAACCCUCAAGCUUUGCUUGGUAUUGGACAUUGCCAGUUUCUGGCAGGUCUUAAAAUCAGUGGCGGUGCCAUUUGGCUUCAAGCGUAGUAAUUCUUCUCGCUUUGGAGAUCCAAGUGGUUACUUGCCAAUAACCCCCAAUUUUUUCAGGUUGACCUCGGAUAAGGUAGGGAUACCCGCUGAACUUAAGCAUAUCAAUAAGCGGAGGA